rnacentral:rRNA from 1 species
GAUGAACGCUAGCGGCAGGCUUAAUACAUGCAAGUCGAGGGGCAGCGGGUAGCAAUACCGCCGGCGACCGGCAAACGGGUGCGGAACACGUACAGAACCUUCCUUUAAGCGGGGGAGUAGCCCAUAGAAAUGUGGAUUAAUACCCCACUAGUAAUACUAGCUGGCAUCAGUUGGUAUUUAAAGAUUAUUCACUUAAAGAUGGCUGUGCGGCUGAUUAAGUAGUUGGUGC